rnacentral:rRNA from 1 species
UACGUAGGGGGCAAGCGUUGUCCGGAUUUAUUGGGCGUAAAGAGCGUGUAGGCGGUUUUACAGGUCCGCUGUGAAAACUCGAGGCUCAACCUCGAGCUGUCGGUGGAAACCGUAAGGCUGGAGUCCGGAAGAGGAGAGUGGAAUUCCUGGUGUAGCGGUGAAAUGCGCAGAUAUCAGGAAGAACACCCGUGGCGAAGGCGGCUCUCUGGGACGGUACUGACGCUGAGACGCGAAAGCGUGGGGAGCGAACAGG